UUGAGUAUUAAAAAAGAAUGUAUAAAGGGUGCUUAUUCAUUUUGCCCUGACAUUCUUCCUUUAGAACCAAUUUGUACGUGGUAUGAUCAAACACGCUUAUUUCUUGUGUAGGAAUUGCGAGCGAGAGGGUUAAAAAAGUUUGGGGAUUGGUGUUUAAUGAACGCUCAAUUUUUAAAACGAGUACACUGUACCUACCGUGAAUAGACGUUCUGCUUGGUAUCGCGCAUUUGGUAAAAAUAGAAAAUUAUCAGCUCGCAUUAUGUCGACUUGCGUAUGCACUCAUUUCAUUGCACAGUGAUAUUCGCCGAUUCGCGAUGUGUUGUGGAAAAUAAUUUUGGUGUUUCUUUGUGAUAAUGAUUAAUUCGAUUAGUAUUCUCACUCGAACUCAGGUUUUCAUCUUGAAGCCGUGGUGCAGCCAAUUCCCGUUCUAAACGCUCCGUCUGGAGUUGGGAAUUUCUUUGUCUGGCCUGGAAAAUUGUCAGCAUCUUCUCCAGACACCCCAUUGAUAACAUCGCCAGCUCUUGGGGUGUGGACGGCUCGUGCCAUCUGGGCGAUUCAUGAGAUGGCGGCGGCGGUGGUGGUGGUGGCGCCUCUUCUCGGUCGAUGGCUGCUGAAGACGGCGGCGAGACGUGUUCAUAAAAUUCUCUUAGUAAUUGCAUAUCUUUUUCCCCCCUAGGCAACGGGGCACUGUAACAAUAAGAGAAACAAUAUUAAAAAUAGAUUAUAUGUAGAAUAAAAGUAACUUACUGAAAGUGA